rnacentral:snoRNA from 3 species
CAGUCAGAGGAAUGAUGUAUUACCGACGAGCUCUGAAGCUUCAGGCUUUUCUUGACAUGGCUACUGAAAACGGUAAGACUA